UGUGUCAAAUGGUAGUCAGAUUAGAUAUUGCAACUAUACUGUGCUGCCUAUUGCCAAACUUGAAGUUUCCAUGAAUAUUUACAAAGUAAUAAACUAAGGUGCUGUUUCCACAUAGUUGAAUAUUUUUAUAUGUGGAUUUUUUUUUUCUCAUGUUUGCAUUGGUUUUGCAUUGGUUUUGCCCUUCCGUUUCCACGUAGAAGAUAUUUGAAAUCCAGGUAUAAAAAGUAGGACAAAAAAAACGCAUUUGUUACAAUGUAGGAUUUAUUUUACUUACACGUAAACAGGAGAAAAAAAUACCCAGCUAAAAAAAUAUCCUGCUACGUGGAAACGGCACCUAAUAGUUAUUAGUAUGACCAAAGUACAGUAAGUUUCCCUCUUUCCAUAAAAGUGCAGUUUUCACAGCCAUAAUGAAUAUAUUGGAAUUUGAUUGUGGUGGUAUGUAUUCAUGAAAAAGGUAACAUUUGUGAAUGAGCAGAAUUAAUUGUGGAAAUAAACAACUAAAAAUGUUACACAGUGCACCUUUAAAUGUUUAGUGGAACAUUUUCUAAAUUCAUUUCAAGUUCCUGCAUAUUUUGUAGAAUUCAGCAUUUAGUGCAAGCUUUGCCUCCUGCAUUAUUAUUUUUAAUAAACCUGCGAACCUACUUGCCAAACUAAAUUGUACUAUCGUCAUGUUAUAUUAAUAUACUAAAAUAAUCAUCCAGCAAAUGUACAUGAAAUGGUUUUGAUGUCGAUAUUCAUAAUGUCUUUGGUGGCCCCAGUAGAUGUUGGUUUAGAGAGAAGUCCAGUAUUCAGAUGAAUCUUAAAAAGGAUGUUUUGCAGACAAUUUGCAGCCCCAAUAGUUAUCUAUCGCAUGGCUUGGCAAAUGGUAAUUUACUACAGGAAGGUAAAUUAGAUUAAAUCUCAAAUUUCAUGUCAAUACUCUCAUUAUCACUUCAGACCUAGUUUCUAACGCAGUAUGAUAUAUAAUAACAGAGAGAAGAGAGUAUUCUUAGAAUCGCUGGUAAUAAUAAACAAGAUUAGACAAUAAACCUUUGUUGUCUCUCUAUUCUGUUAGAAUUGCAAUGAUAUUAGUUGGCUAUAGGGACAAGUAGAGUUUGAGAGGAGCUCAGUAUGAACAUGUUUGUCAUCUUUCCAGAUUGUCAGACUGCAGCAUAAAAGGAAAGGGAUAUGCUGCUCUGGCCACAGCUCUCAAAUCAAACCCUUCACACCUGAAGGAGCUGGACCUGAGAGGAAAUGACACUCGACAUGCUGAACUGAAGCUCCUCACUGAUAUACUGCAGGAUCCUGCCUGUAAACUCAAGAGUCUGAGGCAAGAAAGAGCAUUUCACACUUAAUGUACUAAAUAAUGGUUCCUGAAUAGCAGUGAUGCCAUUGGUGAAGUCUCAGUUAAUCUUUAUCUUUUGUUAGCCAUUGUCACUUAACUAGUUCUCAUAUUUCUCAUCCAAUUAUUUAAAAAUGUCUAAUAAUGCUGUGUGUGUGUUGUGAAUAUUUUGCCCCUAGUACAGCAUGUGAAGCAUGUAGCUUUCAGAUGGGUCCACCGACAGGCUGUUCAGCUCAACUGCAUCAUAGCAACAUUGCCAUGAGUUUUAUGUAACUGAUCAGCUCAUAACAUUUUUUUGACAGGAAAAGUGACAACAAAGUCUCUGUGCAAAGGGAUUAAGCACAGUCUAAAUCAUUGACAGGAUGUUUAAGAACAUGUUAACUUGGAAAAGUCUAGAGUUAUUAUACAUUUCUACUAAAUCAGUUAUAAAAGAAAACAGGAGAUGCAUGCUGUAGAAGAGAGAAUGUAUGAAAGAAUUAAUGUAUUUAAUGUUAGGGAUACGCCACAACAACUUCUCAACUGUGUUGACAUGGCAAUAAACUUCUUGAAUCUUGACUCUUUCUCAGGUUCUAAUGCUAUAUUCAUGUAAUAGUGCAUGAACAACUUACUACAUAAAUAUAGUGAUAUACCAUAGCCUUUGAAACCAAAUUUGUAAUUCAAACUAUGCCUAAAUUAUGUAAGGGUUAACGUUCGGCGAGAAGGUCGCUACCGUGGAAUAGCAGCACGACAGAGAGAAUCUUUAGACCCCGACGCGGAGCGGACAGCGGUCUGUUAUAGACCGACCCGUCCGUUAUCGAAAAAUAACAGACGUGCGAACGUUGGGGAGCCCCAUUGAAAUUAAUGGAGCAUUCGACCGAUGACGUCACACCAUAUAAUAAAGAGACAUAAUUUGCUGAUAAUCAAUGACUGUAACCUAGGCCUAUAUCACGUAAAUGUUAAUUAUAAAACAUAAAACAUUGGGUAUUCCUGUAUACUUCCCCUGCUAGGGUGUUGGGCAGUGAUACAGCAGAUGAAGCCCUGGUGUAUCUGACUGCAGUUCUGGGUGGAAACCCCUUACUGCUGACAGAGCUGGACCUGAGAGGGAAGAUACCAGGAGACUCAGGAGUGAAGCAGUUCUGUGCUCUACUGGAGGAUUCACAAUACAGAGUGGAAAAACUGAGGCUUGGUAACUGCAGUAUAACGGGAGAGGGCUGUGCUGCUCUGAUUUCUACACUGACAUCAAACCCAUCACACCUGAAAGAGCUACAUUUGAAUGAUAAUGUAAUUGGAGACUCUGGUUUGAAGCAGAUCUGUACUCUACUCAGGAAUCCAGAUUGUAAACUACAAAGACUGGGGCUUAAGAGCUGCAGUAUAACAGAAGCGGGCAGUACUGCUCUUGCUUCAGCUCUAUCCUCAAACCCCUCAUCACACCUGAUAGAACUGGAUCUGGAUAAUAAUAAACUAGGAGACUCUGGUGUGAAGCAGA